rnacentral:rRNA from 1 species
GUUGAACGCUGGCGGCGUGCCUAAUACAUGCAAGUCGAGCGAACGGACGAGAAGCUUGCCUCUCUGAUGUUAGCGGCGGACGGGAGAGUAACACGUGGGUAACCUACCUAUAAGACUGGGAUCACUUCGUGAAACCGGAGCUAAUACCGGCUAAUAUUUUAAACCGCAUGGUUCAAAAGUUAAAGACGGUCUUGCUGUCACUGAUAGAUGGGUCCGCGGUGCAUUAGCUAGUUGGUAAGGUAAAGGCUUACCAAGGCAACGAUGCAUAGCCGACCUGAGAGGGUGAUCGGCCACACUGGAACUGAGACACGGUCCAGACUCCUACGGGAGGCAGCAGUAGGGAAUCUUCCGCAAUGGGCGAAAGCCUGACGGAGCAACGCCGCGUGAGUGAUGAAGGUCUUCGGAUCGUAAAACUCUGUUAUUAGGGAAGAACAUAUGUGUAAGUAACUGUGCACAUCUUGACGGUACCUAAUCAGAAAGCAACGGCUAACUACGUG